rnacentral:sRNA from 1 species
AAUCGAGAAAUCGAGAAAUCGGAAAAUCGGGAAAUCGGGAAAGCGAAAACACGAAAUCGAGAAAUCUAUUUCAUUUCCCGUUUUUCUCUUUCGCGUUUUCGCGUUUUAAUUUGCUUUCUUGAUUUUUCAAUUUCGCGUUUUCGCUUUCUCGCUUUCCCGAUUUCCCGAUUUCCCAAUUUCCUGAUUUCUCGAUUU